UAGCUUGCAAACUUUGGUUCUCUUCUAUUGUGUGUGUUCUAGGGAUGAACGCAGGUCAUCAGGCUUUCAUCAGCAACGACAUUUAUCUGCUAAGCCACCCGACUAGUCUGAUUGCACAAUCGCACCUUUUAAAAUUCUCUGUUGUCAUGAAAGACUGAGCUUUUGUAUUUAGUAGGUCUGUGGGAUGGCUUUGUUUUUCUUCUCAUAUUGUGCCUUUUUUUAAUUCUGCUGAUGGAGGUCCUCACACACUGGAGACAAGUGCCUUACAGCUGAGCCCUAGUAAAGGAAUGCUUUUUUAACGUUUUUAAUUUUAAUUUUUUAUUUUUUAGUUUGUGUUGAAAGAUGAGUGCUGUCUGGAUUUCUAGAGCAGAGCCUUUCAGCAAGAGGCCAGGCCUCUCUUGGGCCUUGGAAAGGAGGAACUAGUUAAAACUGAAAUGCUUUAUAUGCCCCACCUCUUCCUUCUGUGGAUGAAGAAAUGGAGAUGAAGGGAAGUACCUUUGGUGGGGGAAAAUGCACAGCACUUUUUAAAAAAAUUCAUUAUACCAGUUGCAAAACGGGCAACUCCAGCAAAAAGAAAACCUCUUUGGUGAAGAAUAUCUUAGGACGCGAUCCCCUAAGCCCUGCUGCACUGCCAGUUCAGGCCUGCCUUUCCAUUUCUAUGUCUUUGCCUGAUGCCCAAGGCUUGCUAUUCCAGCAAUCCCGAGAGGACUGUCUAGCCAUUGCUGCCCAGGCAACCUCGGUCUUUGCUUCUUCCCCUCUUGACCACAAUAGAUGCUGCAUGAGACAGUGGAGUGCUCAUGUUAGACACUGAUGUGGUGGUCUUAGAUUCCUGAGUGACAGCAUGACAUGCCUACAGAGCACGGAGGACUAGAAUCUAUAAAUAGGAAUUUUGUUUUUCAGACAGAGUCUCCUUGCAGACUGGGCUGGCCUUGGACUUCUAUCACACUCCGUUUGCUUUUCUGUAGUGCUGGGGAUCAGGCCUGGGGCUUUGUGAAUGCUCUGCGGGUGCUCGAGCAAGUAGAGCCAAAGUUCCUGGCCCUGAUUUCAUCUCGAAAGAGCCACACACAAUCCAAACAGCAGUGACUAGUAAACGUGUAAGUCCCUCUUUCAAUCCCAACCCCCAUUUUUCUUCUCUCUCUCUCUCUCUCUCUCUCUCUCUCUCUCUGAAAAGAGGAAAUGAAGAGUAAGCUAGCUUCCACAAUAGCAGCAAAAAAAAAAAAAUGAAGAAUCAGGUUCCAAUUAUAGGUGUGGUCAGCGCCAAAGUCCAUGUUAUUUUCACAGUAAUCCACAGACUAUAAGCAGGACCAUAGUUUGGAGGUCCACGGGAAGGUGACCACUGGGUAGCAUGCCAUGAUUGCCCAGCCCUACAAGACUCAAAGAGCAAAUUGGUGAAGUCCGGGGAUUUGUCUGUGGACUUCACCUAAGAAGAGGAGCUGUAACCUGAUAAUGCUCAGAGGAAUCUCUACAAGGAUGUGCUGCUGGACAAGUGUCACAUUGCCAACUUUACCCAGACAGGUGUGGGACCUGAGGACCACCCCUCUUCAGGGGCAGAAAAUGUUGUGUGUGAACUGAAGACACUGAAAUUCAGAGUGUACAGUAGCCUCAAAAACUAAGGUGUAGAAGAAAAUGAAGGAAGAGAAGUCGCCAUGGGUUAGAAGUCCAAAAAUCAAGUUGCUCGCAGAGUGGUGUCAUUUCUGAAUGUGCUCAGGAAGGGUUCUUCCCUGCUGUAUCUUAGUUUCUGGAGCCCUUGGAGGCCAGCUGGAGAGUUAUAGGCACUUGUGAGCUGCCUGCUGUGAGCGUUGGAAACUGAACUCCAGUCUUCUAGAAGAGCAGCAAGGUCUCUCAACUGCUAAGCCAUCUCUCUGGCCCACCAUCUGGUAUUUUUGUACUUAAAUUUUGCAUCUGUUUCUCCUCCAUCUCCAUCUAUGCUUAAGUCUGAACUACACACUAUCUCUCAUCUGACUUAUUCUGAAAUUUUUCCUAGUCAAGGGCCCAGCUUUACAUUAAUGGUGGUCCCCACUAAGCAGUUCCACUGGCCGAGGCUGCUGAUGUUAUGACUUGCACGUUCACUAGGAACAUAUUUUUGUCUAAAGUUUCUCCUGUCUCAUCCCGCCUAAUGAGAGACCAACAUCAUUGCAGGUUGACAUCACCUUUCAGCACAGAUAACACGUUUUACUGAAAAUCACUGAUGUGUAUCAAAUUAUGGAUUUUUUAAAUCAGCUUCAAAACAUACAUACCCUAACAAAUGACUCACAUUGGCAAUAUGAAAUUGGGAUCUUUAAGUACCCGAGGCAGGUUUUUGCUAUGUAGCCCUGGCUGGCCUGGAACACACUAGUUAGGCUAGGUUGGCCACAAACUCGAGAGAUUCCCCCUAUCCCAACGGUGUGAUGAGAGGUCUGAGCCAUCGCACCCAACCUUCUUUUGAGAUAGGGUCUUUGGCUGGCCUGGGGUUCAUUAUAUAGUUCAGAAUGGCCUUGAACUCAUGACAACCCUCUUGUUUUGGUCUAUGGAAUGCUGGGCUGAUUGCUGUGAGCCAUCCUGCCAUGCUUGUGAUGCAUAAACUGACAGAGGGUCAAACCUUAGUUGUCAGCAUUCUUUUCCUAGGGAGAUGUGAAGCAAUUGUAGGUAUUACAUUUGAUGCACGUUAGAUGUUCUGAACUGUAGUAAUGGGAACAUUGUGGUCAGAAAAUUAUUUGGGGGGACAAAUACAAAAGGUUGAUAUCUGAAGACUGUGUGUGGGAGCUCAAUUACAGAGAAGGGACUGGUGGGCAGGACAGGUAUUAUAAUGCUUAUAUGUAAGGCAUUGGAAAGGAGAAUGACCCAUCCAGGAAGCUAAAUAUGGUGCAUAGAGGCAGGACAGUAGAAAGCAAAUAGAACAAUGAGUCCAUUAUGUGGCUGCGAGGACUGCACUCAAAUACCUAGGUUGUGAGUAAGUAUUUAAGUGCUUGGCAGUUAUAGGUAAUCUAUAUACAGUUCUUCACUUUGCUUUGUUCUCUGGACAAAUGAAUGAACACAUUGCCGUCUCCAAUCAUUCUCUGGCACUUAGUUUUUCUUAUUUCAACACCUUUCCACUUGGGGUGUAUUGUGCAGCAUUACCCUCCCCCAACACACGCACACAAGGCAGUGCUUGAAGUUGAUGAAACAACCCUAUUGUUAAACAAGGACACACCACACUUUCAUUCCUGCAUUUUAAAAAAUCUCAGUUCUGAAUUUCCCACACAUCCUGAUCUGUUCACUUGCAACAAUUUUACAGCUUUUCUCAGUCUAAGCUGGUUCUCACAGACCCAGGUCACAUGCUCUUCUCCCUUGUGUGUAGACCUUGACUUCCAGGAGGUCCUAUGAGGCUGACAAGAAAGUUGCUCUGGCCUGCUCUGGCCUAAGCCUGUGCAGAAGGGAAGAGAUGAACAUUUGAGGGAAUAAAAGCUCACGUGGUAAUUAUUUA